UGGAUGCUGAUUGGUAGGUUAAGGGAGGGGCGUGUCAGGACUGCCUGUCUUCGGAUUGGUUGGAGCCCAGAGUCUUCGCUUUCUCUCUAUCUCUGGGGGACUUUCGCGCCCCGUCGAAUUCCCCAGAUAAAGUCCACUUGAUUGGUCUCAGUUCUGUUGGUUUCACUUCGUUCCGCUGGUUUCGAGCGUUGGGGUCAGGUUCCUUCUGGGGGAGCGAGGCGCCCACAGACGCUCCGGAAGUGGGGAGGGCUAUGGUCGGGGCAGAAAACGUGAAAGCUGCUAAUACUUGUCAAUGAGCAGCGUGGCCACUUAAGGGUUUUUUUGCUGCCAAGUCCCCUGAUAAGUCUUCAGAAACUCAUAGAGGGACUUUCUGCCUGAAACUCCGAGGUAUUUGACCGCUUCUCUUCCCAAGAGCCUCUGAUCUUGCAAGAGUUAGAGAGGAAGCAAGUGCUCAAUUUAAAUCAACCAUGAAAGAUCAAUUGGAUAGCUCUAAGACUUGUGUCAACCAACCAGGUGGAACUGAAGUGUCCUAUCCUUCUGCUCACGCGUUAUAACUGUAGGUGGGGUUCUCACUGAGAUCACUGUGAAUAAUACAGAUGAAGACAGGCCUGGAGCAAGCAGAGUCUUGCUGGCUUACGGUUAACUUACCCAGAUGUAGAAAAAAAAAUAGAAAGUUCCAGCUAACUUCAUUCUGCUCAUCAAAUAAAGAUAAAAUCAUUUCUUUCCUCUUGCUCAAAUAAACCUCUCAAAAGAGUGAAAAGCACAGUGACCCAGAGGUCAAGAGU